ACGAGUGUCGUACCAAG
rnacentral:misc_RNA from 1 species